CGGACCAUCAGCAAUUGCAGCCCUGAAUUUUAUGGAUGGAUUUCAUUUUAUUUAUGUGUGACCACAAAGGAAAUGAAAACAUCAGCAUCAUCCAUUUCUACAAAACAGCUCCUUUUGAAUCAGCUGAAGAUUAAAUAUAUUAGUACCUUCGAUAGGAGCUUCGUUGAAUUACAGAGGAUGGGAGUCUUGAAGAAACACCUCCAGGACUCUGCCUACCACAGCAACUGAUAACUGAAGCCAUGUGUGACCACAGAAGAAGGCAACCCAGGGCCUUCCUGGUGGAACAAGGGGUUGAGACGCAACCUAUGAAGCUGUCCACAGCCACUGCAGCGUGAGCUUGAUCUCCAGCCAGGUUGUUGCCCGCAUGGCACCACAGACCUCUCCUGGCUCACCUGCUGCUCCCCUCAGCUGUGUAUUUCGGUAGAUCUGCCUCUUCUGCUCCCCACUCUCUCUCUGGUGAAUCCUCUCACCCCCUAUACCUCUGGCCUGUACCCCAGUUCUUGUGUGCAUAAAUAUUUUUUAAAAAGGCAACCCAAAUAAUGCAAAAACAAUAAUUUGAGGGAUAUAUACAUUCUUACAUUCACUGUAGCACUAUUUACAAAUAUUUUGAUACUUACAUUUACUUAUGCUUUAUUCAGCAUAUGAAAUUUCAUAACCUUAUGAUUCUUAAGGACCAGUCUCUUUUCAUUACCAAAAUAUUAACAUUUAAAUGCUUCAUACCAAAGAAAAUGAGAAUGAGAGAUUCAACCUUGGGUCAUGUAAGUGUGAAGAGAAAAUUAUAACCAUGUAGGGCAUUGUCAUGGUCCAAGGGAAAUGAAUGGCUGGUCUGGCUAACUUAUCAUGUCACGCCACUAAAAUUGCCAUCAGUGUCAUAAACUGGUAUCUAUUGGUUAAGUGUUGAGAGGUCUGGAAAGUUUAAUAUUCUCCUGCCAAAAAUAUCUAGUAGUAUGUUUCAUUGAUAAGUGUAGCAAAAGCUCACCCUGCUUCCCAUUGUUCACAUUUCCAAGUUUUAUUCUUACCUGAGUGUUAUAUUUUGCAUUCCUUUAGCCCUGUUUAAUCCCAAACCAGCUAUUCCUGUAGCUGCUCCUCACAUGCCAUUCCUCAAAUGGGGAGCACAGAGGACACACACCCUCCCAGCCCGCUCUCACACCUCUGAAGGAUGAGCAGGAUGCCGGUGGAGAUUACUCAAUGUGGGAAGAGCUCUUAAUAAAGUGGCUCCGGUCCUGCCAGUAGGUUUAGUGAAGUGCUUAAUUGAGACCAGAAGAGAUGAAGCUGACACCGUAACUAAGCCAUGAUGUGUUCAUCAUCUAACACCUGGGUCUCAGAUCUAGUUUUCAAACUGUGUCUAGUGCCCUAUAAAAAUAUCACCAAGUUUCUUAAAAAAGUGGCAAAGGGGUGUCUAUUAGGCCUCCGCAGGUUGUUCAGACCUUCACCGUAACCUUGCCUUCUCAUCUUUGAAAGAGUAAAUGUUCAAAAAUUUUAAGAACUGUCUGCAUUUUAAAUAAUGACUUAUUCCGACUUUGAGAACAAAUGUAACCUAGGUCUUAGUUCUUGAAAUCUCAGAGAUAUCUUUUAUCAAGAGAAAGAUGACUUCAUCUCUGCAUUUGAACACUGUAGGGUAAGUGAUUGUAGGGUAAGUAAAAGGUACCAGGCUUUUCUGCCCUCCCGCCAUCAGAAUAGAUGAGAGAACCCUGUGAUCCUGCAUGCAAGCCUGAUGGCGGGCACCUGAAGUGGGUACACCUGGGCUGAGAGACUGGACUUUUCAGGGCGGCGUCACGGGGAUGCCAGCAGCAGCAGAAGCCAAGAAGCCGAAAACAAACAGAAGCUGAGAGAGAAGCAGAGAAGACUGGAAAGCCCAGAUAGAGUGAAGACUUGCUAGGGCUGGGAGGCACCCUUGCCUUCUGUGUACCUGGUAAUCCCAAUAAAAGACCUGCA